UCAGCUCAGGGCACACACGAGUGCUCCAGCUGGACCUCCUUUGACAUCUGAAGCAGUUUUCCCUUGGACCUCAGCAGAUGUGAGAUGUUAUUCCAGCAAGGGGAAGGAAGCCGAGCUGAAACGCCCAGGAUGAAGACAUCUGCAGCACCAGCUCUGGACCUGGCCAAAGAGGUGGAACAGCUGCUCACUGCCAGGGUAUUGAGUACUCAUCUUGCUGAACUCAUCUUCUCAACUCUUUGACUGCACUUGAUUUGUUUCCAUCACAUGUGAGACUGGCGAGAGCAUGGAUCUGAUUCAGCACAAACAUAUUUAGGAAGCAAAUAAACCUA